UCCGGCUUUCACCGGCUGUCUCUCUAGAGUGCCCAACCGAAUUGCUGGCAACUAAAGAUAAGGGUUGCGCUCGUUGCGGGACUGAACCCAACAUCUCACGACACGAGCUGACGACAACCAUGCACCACCUGUCACCGCUGUCCCCGAAGGGAAGUCCCUAUCUCUAGGGAGGUCAGCGGGAUGUCAAGCCCUGGUAAGGUUCUUCGCGUUGCUUCGAAUUAAACCACAUGCUCCACCGCUUGUGCGGGCCCCCGUCAAUUCCUUUGAGUUUCAGUCUUGCGACCGUACUCCCCAGGCGGAGUGCUUAAUGGGUUGCCUUCGGCACCGAGGGUGGAACCCCCCGACACCUAGCACUCAACGUUUACGGCGUGGACUAC
rnacentral:misc_RNA from 1 species